AAAUUUCCCAAUAGCGGAGGAAAAGAAACCAACAGGGAUUGCCUCAGUAACGGCGAGUGAAGCGGCAAAAGCUCAAAUUUGAAAUCUAGCACCUUCGGUGUUUGAGUUGUAAUUUGAAGAUGGUAACCUUGGGUUUGGCUCUUGUCUAUGUUCCUUGGAACAGGACGUCAUAGAGGGUGAGAAUCCCGUCUGAUGAGAUGCCCAUUCCUAUGUAAGGUGCUAUCGAAGAGUCGAGUUGUUUGGGAAUGCAGCUCUAAGUGGGUGGUAAAUUCCAUCUAAAGCUAAAUAUUGGCGAGAGACCGAUAGCGAACAAGUACAGUGAUGGAAAGAUGAAAAGAACUUUGAAAAGAGAGUGAAAAAGUACGUGAAAUUGUUGAAAGGGAAGGGCAUUAGAUCAGACUUGGUGUUUUACGAUUAUCUUCUCUUCUUGAGUUGUGCACUCGUAUUUCACUGGGCCAGCAUCGAUUCGGAUGGCAAGAUAAUGGCAGUUGAAUGUGGCUUCACUUCGGUGGAGUGUUAUAGCUUCUGCUGAUAUUGCCUGUCUGGAUCGAGGGCUGCGUCUUUUGACUAGGAUGCUGGCGUAAUGAUCUAAUGCCGCCCGUCUUAAAAAC
rnacentral:rRNA from 1 species